rnacentral:tRNA from 1 species
GCGCUCGUAGCUCAGCUGGACAGAGCACGUGACUACGAAUCACGGGGUCGCAGGUUCGAGUCCUGCCGAGCGCG